GGCCGAACGCUGGCGUCGUGCCUAAUACAUGCACGUUGAGCGAUGAAGAUUGGUGCUUGCACCAAUUUGAAGGGCAGCGACCGGGUGAGUAACGCGUGGGGAAUCUGCCUUUGAGCGGGGGGCAACAUUUGGAAACGAAUGCUAAUACCGCAUAACAACUUUAAACAUAAGUUUUAAGUUUGAAAGAUGCAAUUGCAUCACUCAAAGAUGAUCCCGCGUUGUAUUAGCUAGUUGGUGAGGUAAAGGCUCACCAAGGCGAUGAUACAUAGCCGACCUGAGAGGGUGAUCGGCCACAUUGGGAAUGAGACACGGCCCAAACUCCUACGGGAGGCAGCAGUAGGGAAUCUUCGGAAAUGGACGAAAGUCUGACCGAGAAACGCCGCGUGAGGGAAGAAGGUCUUCGGAUCGUAAAACUCUGUUGGUAGAGAAGAACGUUGGUGAGGGUGGAAAGCUCAUCAAGUGACGGUAACUACCCAGAAAGGGACGGCUAACUACGUG
rnacentral:rRNA from 1 species